UACAGAGGUCUCAAGCGUUGUUCGGAUUCAUUGGGCGUAAAGGGUGCGUAGGUGGCGCUGUAAGUCGGGUGUGAAAUUUCGGAGCUUAACUCCGAAACUGCAUUCGAUACUGCGGUGCUUGAGGACUGGAGAGGAGACUGGAAUUCAUGGUGUAGCAGUGAAAUGCGUAGAGAUCAUGAGGAAGACCAGUGGCGAAGGCGGGUCUCUGGGCCGAUACUGACGCUGAGGAGCGAAAGCAUGGGUAGCGAACAGG
rnacentral:rRNA from 1 species